CUGCCACAAUGCAGGAGUCCGGUUUCGGCCGGACUAGGUGGCUCACACCAGUGCUUCGGACAGCGGUUCGAUUCCGCUCAGCUCCAUUCCCCCAUCUCGGGGCUGCAAUGGUUUCGACGGGGCAUAAGGAGGGUGACUGAAGCCUGCUCGGUCAGAGCAAACACGUAACAGCGAACAACAUCGUUCGUUUCUCCCGUCAGACCGCCCCUGUGGCCGCCUGACCCUAUUAAGGGAGAUGGGGUGAGAUCAGCCUUAUCAACCAAAUGAUCCAUGGGGGCUGGAAGGCCCC
rnacentral:tmRNA from 1 species